GAUGAAGAACCGUAGUGAAAUGGGAUAAGUAAUGUGAAUUGCAGAAUUCAGUGAAUCAUCGAAUCUUUGAACGCACCUUGCACCCUUUGGCAUUCUGAAGGGUAUGCUCGUUUGAGUGUCAUUGUACUCUCACACUCCCGAUCUUUGCAUUGGGAGCAGUGGACUUGGGUUUGCUGCUUCACCGUCGCUUACCUCAAAUAGGUUAGUGCAACUCUUGGUUGGACAUAGUACGGCGUGAUAAGUGUUCUUCGCCGGUGCCUCGCAAAGAGGGUGGCCGAUCGGGAUGUUGUGCUCCAAACCGUCUUCGGACAAUCUCUGACGACUUGACCUCAAAUCGAGUAAGACUACCCGCUGAACUUAAGCAUAUCAAUAAGCGGAGGA
rnacentral:misc_RNA from 1 species